CUGCUGGCUAAGAGGCUUGGUUAGUGGGUCUGCCAUGUUUAGUGUAGAGUCGACUCUCUACAACUCGACGAACUUUUUCUCGAGGUAUUCGCAUAUGAUAUGAAACCAUCGCUCUAUAUGCUUAGACUUCUAGUGAGACCUAGGCUCCUUAGCAAGGGCUAUGGCACUGUUGUUGUCAUAGUGCAGUGCAAUGGCAUCUGAUGGUAUCACUCCC
rnacentral:lncRNA from 1 species